AACGAACGCUGGCGGCAUGCUUAACACAUGCAAGUCGAACGAGACCUUCGGGUCUAGUGGCGCACGGGUGCGUAACGCGUGGGAAUCUGCCCUUAGGUACGGAAUAACUCAGAGAAAUUUGUGCUAAUACCGUAUGAUGUCGAAAGACCAAAGAUUUAUCGCCUAAGGAUGAGCCCGCGUAAGAUUAGCUUGUUGGUGAGGUAAAAGCUCACCAAGGCGACGAUCUUUAGCUGGUCUGAGAGGAUGAUCAGCCACACUGGGACUUGAGACACGGCCCAGACUCCUACGGGAGGCAGCAGUGGGGAAUAUUGGACAAUGGGCGAAAGCCUGAUCCAGCAAUGCCGCGUGAGUGAUGAAGGCCUUAGGGUUGUAAAGCUCUUUUACCAGGGAUGAUAAUGACAGUACCUGGAGAAUAAGCUCCGGCUAACUCCGUG
rnacentral:rRNA from 1 species